UACGAAGGGGGCUAGCGUUGCUCGGAAUCACUGGGCGUAAAGGGUGCGUAGGCGGGUCUUUAAGUCAGGGGUGAAAUCCUGGAGCUCAACUCCAGAACUGCCUUCGAUACUGGAGAGCUUGAGUCCGGGAGAGGUGAGUGGAACUGCGAGUGUAGAGGUGAAAUUCGUAGAUAUUCGCAAGAACACCAGUGGCGAAGGCGGCUCACUGGCCCGGUACUGACGCUGAGGUGCGAAAGCGUGGGGAGCAAACAGG
rnacentral:rRNA from 1 species